UCAGUGGUGACCCUUAGAAAUGGAGGGCUGGUC
rnacentral:sRNA from 1 species